rnacentral:rRNA from 1 species
AUUGAACGCUGGCGGCACGCUUAACACAUGCAAGUCGAACGGCAGCAUGAAUUAACUUCGGUUAAUUUGAUGGCGAGUGGCGAACGGGUGAGUAACGCGUAGGAAUAUGCCUUAAAGAGGGGGAUAACUCGGGGAAACUCGGGCUAAUACCGCGUAAGCUCUACGGAGUAAAGUAUGGGACCUUCGGGCCAUACGCUUUAAGAAUAGCCUGCGUCCGAUUAGCUGGUUGGUGGGGUAAAGGCCUACCAAGGCGAUGAUCGGUAGCUGGUCUGAGAGGAUGGACAGCCACACUGGGACUGAGACACGGCCCAG